rnacentral:rRNA from 1 species
UACGUAGGUGGCGAGCGUUGUCCGGAUUUACUGGGCGUAAAGAGCGCGCAGGCGGUCGUUCAAGUCGCGUGUGAAAGCCCCCGGCUCAACUGGGGAGGGUCACGCGAUACUGAUCGACUCGAAGGCAGGAGAGGGUAGUGGAAUUCCCGGUGUAGUGGUGAAAUGCGUAGAUAUCGGGAGGAACACCAGUGGCGAAGGCGACUACCUGGCCUGUUCUUGACGCUGAGGCGCGAAAGCUAGGGGAGCAAACGGA